rnacentral:rRNA from 1 species
UACGUAGGGUGCAAGCGUUGUCCGGAAUUAUUGGGCGUAAAGAGCUCGUAGGCGGUUUGUCGCGUCUGCUGUGAAAUCCGGCGGCUCAACCUCCGGCCUGCAGUGGGUACGGGCAGACUAGAGUGCGGUAGGGGAGAGUGGAAUUCCUGGUGUAGCGGUGGAAUGCGCAGAUAUCGGGAGGAACACCAAUGGCGAAGGCAGAUCUCUGGGACGUAACUGACGCUGAGGAGCGAAAGCAUGGGGAGCGAACAGG